rnacentral:rRNA from 1 species
AUGGAGGAGCAGAUAAAAAAAUUGUUGGCUGCACAUCUCAUAAGACACAGCCAAAGUCCAUUCGCUGCUCCUGUGUUGUUAGUUAAAAAGAAGGAUGGGUCCAUGAGACUGUGCACAGACUUCAAAAAACUCAAUGCUCUUACAAUUAAGAACAAAUUCCCUAUCCCUGUGAUAGAAGACCUUUUAGAUGAACUGCAUGGAGCAAAGUAUUUUACUAAAUUGGACUUAAGGUCUGGCUAUCACCAAAUCAGAAUGUCACCUGAAGAUAUCCAUAAAACUGCAUUCAGAACAUUCUUGGGCCAUUUUGAAUUUCUGGUAAUGCCAUUUGGCCUGUCCAAUGCCCCUGGAACUUUCCAAGAAUUAAUGAAUACCAUAUUUGGUCCUUAUUUAAGGAAAUUUGUGUUGGUUUUCUUUGAUGACAUACUGAUCUUCAGUAGAAACCUCACAGAGCACUUGGAGCAUAUUAAGUUGGUCUUGGAUCUUUUAAGAGAGCACCAACUUUUUGCCAAAAUGUCAAAGUGUGUGUUUGCAGCUCAGAAAGUGGAAUAUUUAGGGCAUGUGAUUUCUGUUGAUGGUGUGGCUACUGACCCACAGAAGAUCUCUGCUAUAGCUGAGUGGCCUGUGCCUGAAAAUAUCACUAAGCUUAGAAGUUUUCUGGGUUUAGCAGGGUACUAUAGAAGAUUUAUCAAAAGUUAUGGUGUUAUAUGCAGGCCUCUGCAUGAUCUGCUUAAAAAGGGAAAUUUCCAUUGGUCACCUGAACAUACAAAAGCUUUCCAGCAACUGAAACAAGCAUUAACUUCUGCUCCUGUUUUGGCUUUGCCAGAUUUUUCCAAGCCAUUUGUUUUGGAAACUGAUGCUUCAGGAAAAGGGAUUGGGGGCUGUUCUAAUGCAGCAAGGAAGGCCAAUAUCUUUCUAUGGUUCAUCUUUAUGCCCUAG